rnacentral:misc_RNA from 1 species
AUCAAAAGCUUUGAGGAAAGCUCUUUGUUUUUUGAAAUGAUGCUUUUAGAGAUAGAGCUUUUUUAGAUAAUGCUUUUUUAGAUAAUGCUGGGGAAGGUUUUCCGGUUUAUCUCGGAGGGCUUGUAGCUCAGUUGGUUAGAGCGCGCGCUUGAUAAGCGUGAGGUCGGAGGUUCAAGUCCUCCCCGGCCCCCCAAUUUACCUAUCCCUUUGCCUUUAUCCGUUUAUUUGCCGAUUUAUCGGUCCCUUGAAUUUAAGUGUUGGGAGCAGUUUUUAUAAUGAUGAGAAAUCAUGCUUAUAAAAGAACUCCUUAUAAAAGGCUUGUUUUUAAAAUGUGACGCUUAUCCAUUUCGCUUAGGCAAGAGAAACUCAAGCGGUUCAAAUGCAAAAGGCUUUAAAUUUUGCAAAACAAUUUGAAUUUUAAAGAGAUCCAAGUUCGUGAUAUCGAAAUUAAAAGUUCGAAGCUAUCCUUUCUGGGUUUGUU